ensembl:lncRNA
CCAAUCUCUCCCAAAGGUCGCAGGCGUGAUGAGACUUGAGCUCGGAAAUGUUUGUUAUGCCAUUUGUCAGUAAUGGUUAGAGCGCCACCUAGUGGGACGACUAUAAUAAUGGUUGAAUGAGAUGAAAUUUUAGCUGGUGGUUAAAUGCAUGAAUUCCAUCAAUGUGACAUCAGAUCGGAAGCGCUGGUUUUAGGUGUUGGGCUUGGCUCGACGCGCCGGGGGUGCGAGGGCCCUCAUAUCGCUGCUUGCAGCUUUAAUUAUUAUUAUUAUUAUUAUUCAGGCAAAAGAAGGGCCUUUUUGAGGGCUUUAACAUGCUCGAAAACUCUUGGAAUUUUGCACACAUGCCAGGUCUGGUGAAAAAUUUUGUAUUUUAAUGGUUUUACAUAUGAGCACUGGGAAAUGGCUCUGUAGCGCCACCUAUGCCUUGUUAAAUGCAGC